rnacentral:rRNA from 1 species
GGGUGGUAAUGCCGGAUGCUCCAGUUGAUCGCAUGGUCUUCUGGGAAAGCUUUCGCGGUAUGGGAUGGGGUCGCGUCCUAUCAGCUUGACGGCGGGGUAACGGCCCACCGUGGCUUCGACGGGUAGCCGGCCUGAGAGGGCGACCGGCCACAUUGGGACUGAGAUACGGCCCAGACUCCUACGGGAGGCAGCAGUGGGGAAUAUUGCACAAUGGGCGCAAGCCUGAUGCAGCGACGCCGCGUGAGGGAUGGAGGCCUUCGGGUUGUAAACCUCUUUUAUCGGGGAGCAAGCGAGAGUGAGUUUACCCGUUGAAUAAGCACCGGCUAACUACGUGCCAGCAGCCGCGGUAAUACGUAGGGUGCAAGCGUUAUCCGGAAUUAUUGGGCGUAAAGGGCUCGUAGGCGGUUCGUCGCGUCCGGUGUGAAAGUCCAUCGCUUAACGGUGGAUCCGCGCCGGGUACGGGCGGGCUUGAGUGCGGUAGGGGAGACUGGAAUUCCCGGUGUAACGGUGGAAUGUGUAGAUAUCGGAAAGAACACCACCC